UUUUAGUACGUAAGCGCCAUGGAUGGCGAAUCGUGCAUGCUGCUACUAAGAACCAGCAGUAUCUUUUGAAGCUUC
rfam:Glossina austeni unplaced genomic scaffold Scaffold174, whole genome shotgun sequence.